GACUGCAGCCAUCCCACCUGACCACCCACUGGUCUCUGAUCGGCAGCUGAGCAGGGUCUGGCUCGGUUAGUUCAUGGCCAGGAGACUUCCUGGGAGUAAAUACCAGGUGCUGUUGGCU
rnacentral:rRNA from 14 species